UACGAAGGUCCCGAGCGUUAUUCGGAAUCACUGGGCGUAAAGGGAGCGUAGGCUGCGCGGUAAGUCAGAUGUGAAAUCUCAGAGCUCAACUCUGAAACUGCUCCGAUACUGCCGCGCUAGAGAAUGGAGGGGUAACUGGAAUUCUCAGUGUAGCAGUGAAAUGCGUAGAUAUUGAGAGGAGACAACGG
rnacentral:rRNA from 1 species